GGCCUGUUAGCUCAGCUGGUUAGAGCGUAGUGCUAAUAACGCCAAGGUUGUGGGUUCAAUCCCCACAUGGGCCA
rnacentral:tRNA from 1 species